UGCGUAGGCGGUGCGGUAAGUCUUUUGUGAAAUCUCCGGGCUCAACUCGGAGUCUGCAGGAGAAACUGCCGUGCUUGAGUAUGGGAGAGGUGAGUGGAAUUCCUGGUGUAGCGGUGAAAUGCGUAGAUAUCAGGAGGAACACCUGUGGCGAAAGCGGCUCACUGGACCAUAACUGACGCUGAUGCACGAAAGCUAGGGGAGCAAACAGGAUUAGAUACCCUGGUAGUCCUAGCCCUAAACGAUGAUUGCUUGGUGUGUCGGGUACCCAAUCCCGACGUGCCGGAGCUAACGCGAUAAGCAAUCCGCCUGGGGAGUACGGUCGCAAGACUGAA
rnacentral:rRNA from 1 species